rnacentral:misc_RNA from 1 species
GAUGAAGAACGUAGCGAAAUGCGAUAAGUAAUGUGAAUUGCAGAAUUCAGUGAAUCAUCGAAUCUUUGAACGCACCUUGCGCCCCUUGGUAUUCCGAGGGGCAUGCCUGUUUGAGUGUCAUGUUAAUCUCAAACCACUCGUCUUUCUUAAUCGAAGGGCUUGCAGGUUUGGACUUGGAGGGUUACUGCUGGCGCCUCUCGAGGGGUCGGCUCCUCUUAAAUAUAUUAGCUGGGCUUUGGCUCGCGUUUACGGUGUAAUAGUUGAUUCCAUUCACCAACGCGCGCUUGCCUGAAGGGCCUGCUUCUAGCCGUCCGCGUCGUCGGACAAGGAGUUUUAUCUCCUUCUUGACACGUUUGACCUCAAAUCAGGUAGGAUUACCCGCUGAACUUAAGCAUAUCAAUAAGCGGAGGA